rnacentral:rRNA from 1 species
UGGGGAAUAUUGGACAAUGGGCGAAAGCCUGAUCCAGCCAUGCCGCGUGAGUGACGAAGGCCUUAGGGUUGUAAAGCUCUUUUGGCGGGGAAGAUAAUGACGGUACCCGCAGAAUAAGCUCCGGCUAACUUCGUGCCAGCAGCCGCGGUAAUACGAAGGGAGCUAGCGUUGUUCGGAAUCACUGGGCGUAAAGCGCACGUAGGCGGAUUGUUUAGUCAGGGGUGAAAUCCCGGGGCUCAACCUCGGAACUGCCUUUGAUACUGGCAAUCUCGAGUCCGAUAGAGGUGGGUGGAAUUCCUAGUGUAGAGGUGAAAUUCGUAGAUAUUAGGAAGAACACCGGUGGCGAAGGCGGCCCACUGGAUCGGUACUGACGCUGAGGUGCGAAAGCGUGGGGAGCAAACAGGAUUAGAUACCCAGUAGUCCCUGAGCGGGCUGGCAAGGCGCAU